UACGUAGGGUGCAAGCGUUAAUCGGAAUUACUGGGCGUAAAGCGUGCGCAGGCGGUUCGGAAAGAAAGAUGUGAAAUCCCGGGGCUUAACCUUGGAACUGCAUUUUUAACUGCCGGGCUAGAGUAUGUCAGAGGGGGGUAGAAUUCCACGUGUAGCAGUGAAAUGCGUAGAGAUGUGGAGGAAUACCGAUGGCGAAGGCAGCCCCCUGGGAUAAUACUGACGCUCAUGCACGAAAGCGUGGGGAGCAAACAGG
rnacentral:rRNA from 1 species